UUUAGCUGUAUCGGUGGAGCCAGUAAAACAUGGACAGCUGUAAUGAGGUUGGCUAGAUUAAGUAUUAUCUGUUCCCUCCAGGGCAGGAACUCAGGUGAUGCAUGGUUGGUUUCUCGCCGUUGCUCCGAUGAUCCAAAGGGGCAUUCCGUCAUUAAGGAUCUCCUCCCAGGACAGGACCCUCGUCAUAGGCUGGCCAAUGAUACGACCUGCGAACCUGCAAAACAAGCAGCUCUGCUCUAAUGAGGAAGUAUGCGACCACGACAAAAGAGCUGCACCGUAAUGGCUCGGGGAUUGAUCAUGAUAUGGAGGCUCUCAUGCAAUAAAUGGCUUCAGGGAGAGCUGGAGAUGAGCAUCCCCGGAGUGUGGCUCCCCUUAACGACGCCUCCCCUUUCACCUACAGAAAUGUUAAGUAUGGGCUCGGGAGCACUGAAGCGGUGCGACAUCCGCCUGGCCGUAUUUCAUGCAGAUGGGCAGGUUAAAUAUGCCAGCCACACAUCCGAUGCUGGGCAAUCUUUUUCUCUUCUCCUACCUUAAUCUCGCUCUUUUCAACCCUUCUCUUUCUCUCUUUGUGGUGUCACCGCUUCAAAGCAAUUUCUCCUUUCUUAGCUUUAUCAGCCAUACAUUAAAGGUGACUUCUUAAAGCA